rnacentral:rRNA from 1 species
GCUGGCGGCAGGCCUAACACAUGCAAGUCGAGCGCACUCUUCGGAGUGAGCGGCGGACGGGUUAGUAACGCGUGGGAACGUACCCAGAUCUAAGGAAUAGCCACUGGAAACGGUGAGUAAUACCUUAUACGCCCUUCGGGGGAAAGAUUUAUCGGAUUUGGAUCGGCCCGCGUUAGAUUAGGUAGUUGGUGGGGUAAUGGCCUACCAAGCCUACGAUCUAUAGCUGGUUUUAGAGGAUGAUCAGCAACACUGGGACUGAGACACGGCCCAGACUCCUACGGGAGGCAGCAGUGGGGAAUCUUAGACAAUGGGCGCAAGCCUGAUCUAGCCAUGCCGCGUGAGUGAUGAAGGCCUUAGGGUCGUAAAGCUCUUUCGCCUGUGAUGAUAAUGACAGUAGCAGGUAAAGAAACCCCGGCUAACUCCGUGCCAGCAGCCGCGGUAAUACGGAGGGGGUUAGCGUUGUUCGGAAUUACUGGGCGUAAAGCGCACGUAGGCGGAUUAGAAAGUUAGGGGUGAAAUCCCGGGGCUCAACCUCGGAACUGCCUCUAAAACUCCUAGUCUAGAGUUCGAGAGAGGUGAGUGGAAUUCCAAGUGUAGAGGUGAAAUUCGUAGAUAUUUGGAGGAACACCAGUGGCGAAGGCGGCUCACUGGCUCGAUACUGACGCUGAGGUGCGAAAGUGUGG